AGUCAAUAGAUACCCCGGUAGUCCAUGCCGUAAACGAUGAUUGCUAGGUGUGGGGGGUCUGACCCCUUCCGUGCCGGAGUUAAACACAAAUAAGCAAUCCACCUGGGGAGUACGGCCGCAAGGUUGAAACUCAAAGGAAUUGACGGGGGCCCGCACAAGCAGUGGAGUAUGUGGUUUAAUUCGAAGCAACGCGAAGAACCUUACCAGGUCUUGACAUCCACCGAAUCCUGUAGAGAUACGGGAGUGCCCUUCGGGGAACGGUGAGACAGGUGGUGCAUGGUUGUCGUCAGCUCGUGUCGUGAGAUGUUGGGUUAAGUCCCGCAACGAGCGCAACCCUUGUGAAUAGUUGCUACGAAAGAGCACUCUAUUCAGACCGCCGUUGACAAAACGGAGGAAGGUGGGGAUGACGUCAAAUCAUCAUGCCCCUUAUGACCUGGGGCUACACACGUACUACAAUGGCCGUUAACAGAGGGAUGCAAUGCCGCGAGGUGAGCGAACCCCUAAAAACGGUCUCAGUUCAGAUUGCAGGCUGAAACUCG
rnacentral:rRNA from 1 species